UCCUCCUUGCCAAGCACAUUUGAAUUUGGAAGCUAAGCAAGACCGACCUGGUUAGUGCUGGGAUGGGGGACCACCAGGAAAUCUCAGAC
rnacentral:rRNA from 1 species